GCCUGGGCCACCUGACAAAAGACUGCUGAUAUUUCUGAAUGUAUGUGGGAACUUUGAAUCAACAUCCAGACAUCUACUAGCUGACCACUAAAUAGGCCACUGCACCCUGCGUGUGCAUGAACUUUCAGGACCGCUGCCUCUAUCCAAUCAAAAGUGGAAAACGAGGUACAGUGAAGCAUUACUAUUUCAUGAGAAGCUCAACUUCUCAUGGCCAGUGGACUGGAUCCAGCCAUCUCUCCAUGUCUCAGCGUUGCCGACCUGGGUAGGGUGAAAUUGAAGUGGAACCCUCAUGCAGUGCCCCGGAGGGCUAGGGAUGCUAGUAGCUCACCCCACUCUUCGUUUCCUAGUGAGGGAAACUUUUUCUAGCUGGGGAGUUCUCUCUUGGCAAUAAACAAUGCCAGUUUGGGGGAUGAGAUGA